CCGGAGACGCGCGUUGGGUAUUUACAAAUUUUCUCCUCAGACAAGUGUUUCUGUUUUGUGGUCGAUUCUGGGAUCCUUUUCUUGGUGUGUCUUGAUGUUUUCUAUUGGCUAAAGACAUGUCUCUGUGAAACUGACAAUCUCAGGUAGGAGCUGCUGGUUUGUGGUUGGCAGUAUGGAUCACAGUCUGCGACUCAUGAGGAGCUGGGCUGGAGACAUGAAGAGGUUGUCAACAGGAAUCAUGGGUUCCUUGGUAUUUGAAUUAUGUUGAACCAGGCCAUCCAUCCAAGAUCAUCUAUCUGAGCUGCUGAAAACUGCCUCGGUACGGAUCUGUUGGAGCUUUGUGUCACUGACUGUAUUUCUGCAAAUUCCUGUUCCGUGUCACAUGGCUUAUGCAAGACUGAAUCCAAAAAGGGGGUGGUCUGUGGAGACUGUGGGCGAUUCCUUCUGCUGUCAUUUAAACAUGAGCAGGAGUAAUGACGGGAUUUAAAUGGAC